rnacentral:rRNA from 1 species
CACGGGGGGAGCAAGCGUUGUUCGGAAUCACUGGGCGUAAAGGGCGUGUAGGCGGUCAGGUAAGUGAGAUGUGAAACGCCCCGGCUCACCCGGGGACCUGCAUCUCAAACUGCCUGGCUUGAGUAUGGGAGAGGAUGAGGGAAUUCCUGGUGUAGCGGUGAAAUGCGCAGAUAUCAGGAAGAACACCCGUGGCUAAGGCGGCUCUCUAGUACGGUACUGACGCUGAGACGCGAAAGCUAGGGGAGCAAACGGG